AAACGUAGGGGGCGAGCGUUGUCCGGAAUUACUGGGCGUAAAGAGCUCGUAGGCGGUAGACCAAGUCAGCUGUGAAAGCCGACGGCUCAACCGCAGGAUUGCAGUUGAUACUGAUCUACUUGAGGCAAGGAGAGGAAGAUGGAAUUCCCAGUGUAGCGGUGAUAUGCGUAGAUAUUGGGAAGAACACCAGUGGCGAAGGCGGUCUUCUGGCCUUGACCUGACGCUGAGGAGCGAAAGCCAGGGUAGCGAACGGGAUUAGAUACCCCGGUAGUCCUGGCCGUAAACGAUGGACACUAGGUGUAGGUGGUUUCAAAGCCAUCUGUGCCGCAGCUAACGCAUUAAGUGUCCCGCCUGGGGAGUACGGUCGCAAGGCUGAA
rnacentral:rRNA from 1 species